rnacentral:piRNA from 1 species
UGGGACUCAACCACAGGUUGUUGUGAGGGU